rnacentral:rRNA from 1 species
CGCCUCUUGAAUAAUUAUAAGAGGUCCAGCCUGCCCAGUGACCCUGUUCAACGGCCGCGGUAUCCUAACCGUGCGAAGGUAGCAUAAUCAGUUGUUCUUUAAAUGAGGACUUGUAUGAACGGCAUCACGAGGGUUAUACUGUCUCCUUUUUCUAAUCAGUGAAACUAAUCUCCCCGUGAAAAAGCGGGAAUAAAAAUAUAAGACGAGAAGACCCUAUGGAGCUUUAAACUAAAUAACAAAGACUAACUAUUUAUCAACUUUCAGAAAAUUAACUCUUACUUUAGUAAUAUGAUUAUUAGUUUUAGGUUGGGGUGACCACGGAGUAAAAAUUAACCUCCGUAUUGAAUGGGAUUUUCCCUGAGCCAAGAGCCACGACUCGAAGCACCAAUAAAUUGACAUCAAUUGACCCAAUAUUUUGAUCAACGAACCAAGUUACCCUAGGGAUAACAGCGCAAUCCACUUAAAGAGCCCCUAUCAACAAGUGGGUUUACGACCUCGAUGUUGGAUCAGGGUAUCCCAGUGGUGCAGCCGCUACUGAAGGUUCGUUUGUUCAACGAUUAAAACCCU